UAGAAUCUUCCAUUCUAAUGGCCGUGCACCAGAGUUGGAGCGUAUCUCCUGUUGAAGAACAUCUCUAGACAUUAUGAACCAUAUGACCAAGACUGAAAAUCAUCAAUAAAACACAAGUGGAUUGAUAGCUCCAACACCAAUUAAGCAGCAAUUGAGCAGCUGAUCAAGGAUCACCAGAAACUCUACAAAACUUCAGUACCCUUAGGACUUAUUGAUGACUAUCAAUAAGUCCUCAAUAACCA